ensembl:snRNA U2 U2 spliceosomal RNA
UUCACCUUUGUGUAUGUAUGACAAUAAAAACGUUCCAAAAAAAAAUACAAAAAUCUGUUCUUAUCAGUUUAAUAUCUGAUACGUCCCCUAUCUGGGGACCAUAUAUUAAAUUGAUUUUUGGAAUAGGGAGAUGGAAUAGGGGCUUGCUCCGUCCACUCCACGCAUCGACCUGGUAUUGCAGUACCUCCAGGAACGGUGCACCCCCC